rnacentral:rRNA from 1 species
AUUGAACGCUGGCGGCAGGCUUAACACAUGCAAGUCGAACGAGCGGCGGACGGGUGAGUAAUGUCUGGGAAUCUGCCUGAUGGAGGGGGAUAACUACUGGAAACGGUCGCUAAUACCGCAUACCAUCGGAUGUGCCCAGGUGGGAUUAGCUAGUAGGUGGGGUAAUGGCUUACCUAGGCGACGAUCCCUAGCUGGUCUGAGAGGAUGACCAGCCACACUGGAACUGAGACACGGCCCAGACUCCUACGGGAGGCAGCAGUGGGGAAUAUUGCACAAUGGGGGCAAGCCUGACGCAGCCAUGCCGCGUGUGUGAAGAAGGCCUUCGGGUUGUAAAGUACUUUCAGCGAGGAGGCGUUACUCGCAGAAGAAGCACCGGCUAACUCCGUGCCAGCAGCCGCGGUAAUAC